rnacentral:rRNA from 1 species
UACGUAGGGUGCAAGCGUUGUCCGGAAUUAUUGGGCGUAAAGGGCGCGUAGGCGGUUUGUUAAGUCAGCUGUGAAAGCCCGGGGCUCAACCCCGGAGGGUCAGCUGAUACUGGCAGGCUAGAGUACAGAAGAGGUAACUGGAAUUCCAGGUGUAGCGGUGAAAUGCGUAGAUAUCUGGAGGAACACCGGUGGCGAAGGCGGCAUCCUGGACCAACACUGACGCUGAGGAGCGAAAGCCAGGGGAGCAAACGGG